rnacentral:rRNA from 1 species
GGCCCGCACAAGCGGAGGAACAUGUGGUUUAAUUCGAUGAUACGCGAGGAACCUUACCCGGGCUUGAAUUGCAGCCGAACGAUCCAGAGAUGGUGAGGCCCUUCGGGGCGGCUGUGAAGGUGCUGCAUGGUUGUCGUCAGCUCGUGCCGUGAGGUGUCGGCUUAAGUGCCAUAACGAGCGCAACCCCUCUCCCCAGUUGCCAUCGGGUAAUGCCGGGCACUCCGGGGACACUGCCACCGUAAGGUGCGAGGAAGGUGGGGAUGACGUCAAAUCAGCACGGCCCUUACGUCCGGGGCUACACACGUGUUACAAUGGCCGGUACAGAGAGCCGGGUCUGCGCAAGCAGUCUCCAAUCCCAAAAGCCGGCCUCAGUUCGGACUGGGGUCUGCAACCCGACCCCACGAAGCUGGAUUCGCUAGUAAUCGCGCAUCAGCCAUGGCGCGGUGAAUACGUUCCCGGGC